rnacentral:tRNA from 2 species
GGGGAUGUAGCUCAGUUUGGCAGAGCGCUGCGUUCGCAAUGCAGAGGUCAGGAGUUCGACCCUCCUCAUCUCCACCA